GGCUGACUGACCAACUGAGAGCUGAGGGCAUGCUGUCCCCUAGAAAUGGCGGCUGAGUUUUCACUGACAGAUCACGGGCCAUUGAGAGAGAGCAUCUCUUCAGGAGGCUUGCUCCCAUGGCCCAGCACCAAAGCCUUUCCACUCCAUUCAACCACCCAACUGUUGAGCACAGACUGAGAGGGCCAACGGCUGCUGCCUUGAGCAGCCCCUCCAGUAGGACCAGGGCUGGAAGUGACUCAUGGUCUUAUCCAAGAGCCACCUUUGACAUCCGGUGUCAGAGUCAUGGGCCUGUGUUUUGUGCCUGAAAGCCAGUUGCUACUGGAGGAAGGCAGCCUGGAAUUCUUAGCAGCAGCUUGUCAUCUGGUCCUCAGUGCGGGUCACACUGUCGCCGUCACCGAGGAGAGUGAGCCUGGGUAUUCAGAAGAGAAGCUUUGCCUCGUGCUGGUUCAGCUCAUUGCAGGAUGAACGAGAGAGUGAGAGAGAGAGAAAGAGAGAGAGGAAGAGGAGGAAGAGGAGGAAGAAGAGGGAAAGAGAAAACUUCUGGCAUUCCUCCCAAGCAUUUCACCCACAAACCGGUUUAGGCCAGUGAGACAGGAUGUUCUGCAGAGCAAAGAUCAUGUGAUCGCCCCAUGUGAACAAACAGAUGGUGUGUCAUUAACAAGCUAGCUGCAGGAUUGCAUUUCUCUGACUCCAGGGUGUCAGUGACCCCAGAGAUUUAAUUAAAAACAUUAAAAAAAAAAUACUGA